GAGUUUGAUCCUGGCUCAGAACGAACGCUGGCGGCGUGCCUAACACAUGCAAGUCGAACGUGAUCCAGAGCUUGCUCUGGUGAAAGUGGCGCACGGGUGAGUAACGCGUGGAUAACCUACCCUGGUAUCCGGGAUAACAUUCCGAAAGGGGUGCUAAUACCGGAUAAGCCCACGGGCUCUUGGAGCUUGCGGGAAAAGGUGGCCUCUAUUUAUAAGCUACUGUAUCAGGAUGGGUCCGCGUACCAUUAGCUAGUUGGCGGUGUAACGGACCACCAAGGCGACGAUGGUUAGCUGGUCUGAGAGGAUGAUCAGCCGCACUGGAACUGAGACACGGCCCAGACUCCUWCGGGAGGCAGCAGUGGGGAAUUUUGCGCAAUGGGGGAAACCCUGUSGCAGCAACGCCGCGUGAGUGAUGAAGGCCUUUGGGUCGUAAAGCUCKGUCAGGGGGGAAGAAAUGAUAUAGUGCUAAUACCACUUUAUCUUGACGGUACCCUCAAAGGAAGCACCGGCUAACUCCGUGCCAGCAGCCGCGGUAAUAC
rnacentral:rRNA from 1 species